AGCAAGGCAAGCUUCAUUCAAUUGCUUCAUUCAAAGAGCCAAAAGGAAGUGGUUGAGCAGAUUCCAAGAGACAUUAAGAUAUCCACCAAUCCUUGAAGAGUGAAGCAAUCUUGACAAAGAAGAGAAGAGCCUUAUUAAAGCGAUAACUAUAUUCUAAACUCUUCUUUGUAGCUUAUAAUUGUUAUAUUUGCUCAUCUAGGAGUUUCAAC
rnacentral:lncRNA from 1 species